rnacentral:rRNA from 1 species
UACGGGGGGAGCAAGCGUUGUUCGGAUUUACUGGGCGUAAAGGGCGCGUAGGCGGCCAGCACAAGUCAGUUGUGAAAUCUCCGAGCUUAACUCGGAAAGGUCAACUGAUACUGUGCGGCUAGAAGUGCGGAAGGGGCAACUGGAAUUCUCGGUGUAGCGGUGAAAUGCGUAGAUAUCGAGAGGAACACCUGCGGCGAAGGCGGGUUGCUGGGCCGACACUGACGCUGAGGCGCGAAAGCCAGGGGAGCGAACGGG